UCUCGUGGAGGAGCAAAGAAGGUGGUUUCUUGAGAUGGAAUCUGGUCCUGGUGAAGAUGCUGUGAA
rnacentral:pre_miRNA from 1 species